CUCACAUCCUUCCUAUAGUUCAAAAGCAACACCAACUUCUGGUGACUUUAUUGUUUUGUAAUGCUGCUGCCAUGGAGGAUCAAAUUCCUCUAGAUGAUAAUGGAAAGUUAUGUCCAGAAAGAGGCUGCCAAGGCUCUUAACUGAGGCUCUAAACACCUCAUACCAGCAUGUUACUUGCUCUUCCAAGGUUCAUGAUGGUCUUUUUGUUCCUAUUACCACUGAAGAGCGAAAAAGAAACGAUUGAACCUGAACUUGUGGACAUCAUCAAUGUUGCCACAGUGAAGUCUGCUUAAGCGAUGGUCUGUGUACAAGUUUUUGUGAAAUCGUCAUGUGUUCUUUAAUUCUGCAGUUUUUCAUUUUGAAGUUACAUAUUGUAGUAGUUUGCCUGAAAGUAUGAGUUAAAGCGUACAAAAACAGGCUGCAAGUAUUAAUAAACAUGUUUUUCUGUAAACAUGC